AUUGAACGCUGGCGGCAGGCCUAACACAUGCAAGUCGAGCGGAGCGGCGGACGGGUGUGUAAUGCCUAGGAAUCUGCCUGGUAGUCGGGGAUAACGUCCGGAAACGGGCGUUAAUACCGCAUACUAUCAGAUGAGCCUAGGUCGGAUUAGCUAGUUGGUGGGGUAAAGGCCAACCCAGGACACGAUCCGUAACUGGGCUGAGAGGAUGAUCAGUCACACUGGAACUGAGACACGAUCCAGACUCCUACGGGAGGCGGCAGUGGGGAAUAUUGAACAAUGGGCGAAAGCCUAAUCCAGCCAUGCCGCGUGUGUGAAGAAGGUCUUCGGAUUGUAAAGCACUUUAAGUUGGGAGGCGUUACCAACAGAAUAAGCACCGGCUAACUUCGUGCCAGCAGCCGCGGUAAUUC
rnacentral:rRNA from 1 species